GUGCAGAGAGAGAAAGAGAGAAAGAGUGAACACCCACCCAGGCUGCCUCGACUCUUUAUAUCAAACCCUCCGUCACUCGGCGCCUCCUAAAAGGCACUUCUCCGCUCCACCGGCCGUCUCGCUGCUGGGCGGACCUGCACUUUUUUUACGCACAUUCAGCCCGAACUAACCGCUAAUCUUCGGAGUUCAUUAACAAGAAGAAGAAGAAGCGAGAGACAGGGGAGAGACAUGGCCACGACAACCUGUACGCGAUUCACAGAUGAAUAUCAGCUGUACGAGGAGCUGGGGAAGGGAGCAUUUUCAGUAGUGCGCAGAUGUGUUAAGCUGUGCACAGGACAGGAGUAUGCUGCUAAAAUAAUCAACACCAAAAAGUUAUCUGCAAGAGAAAUGGAGGAAGCUGGAAAAGUCCUAGCAGCAGUAGAAACAGCAUUGGUAUGGUGAUGUGACAGUCAUACA